rnacentral:rRNA from 1 species
AGUGAACGCUGGCGGUAGGCCUAACACAUGCAAGUCGAACGGCAGCACAGGAGAGCUUGCUCUCUGGGUGGCGAGUGGCGGACGGGUGAGGAAUACAUCGGAAUCUGCCCAGUCGUGGGGGAUAACGUAGGGAAACUUACGCUAAUACCGCAUACGACCUUCGGGUGAAGGAGGGGGAUCGCAAGACCUCUCGCGAUUGGAUGAGCCGAUGUCGGAUUAGCUAGUUGGCGGGGUAAUGGCCCACCAAGGCGACGAUCCGUAGCUGGUCUGAGAGGAUGAUCCGCCACACUUGAACCUGAGCCCCGGCCCAGCUCCUUAGGGAAGCCACAGGUGGGGAUUAUUGGCAAAUGGGGGCAAGCUUGAUCAAGCAAAACGGGUGGGUUGAAGAAGGCCUCCGGGUGGUAAGGCCUUUUUGUGGGAAAGAAAUCUUUCAGGCUAAUACCCUGGGAGGAUGACGGUACCCAAAGAAUAAGCACCGGCUAACUUCGUG